GGAUGGGUAUGCUCAGUGGUAGAGCACAUGUUUAUCAUACACAAGGUCCUGGGUUCAAUUCCCUAGUACCUCCA
rnacentral:tRNA from 1 species